CUCCUUUUUACAGUGGUGUGGCCCAGAGAUAGUCUGUUUCUGUGUUCAUGACUUUAAGGAGGUUAGAGGUGAGUAUAUCCUUAGACUCCCCUUCCUCUGUGGAUUGGGUUGGUUGUGGGACAAGAUCUCUGUGUGUGACUAUAUAACUAUAUAUGUCCCCAGACUCUUCCCCAGAGGGGCUUAGAGUUUGGCUGGGGUGCAGGGCUCUCUGUGCCCAGCUGUUCCUCUCUAGUUCCAGAGCUAUUUGAGGUUCAGGAACCACGGGGAAGAGGGAGAAAGGAUUUCUCAUAACCCAUGAUUUUUAAGAGGUAGAAAUCUCUGGAUAUGACAGAGCAGGCUCUCAGGUUUUAAAGGAUUGCUGUGUCAAGUUAUGUGUUGUAUCUUUUGGUGAUUGUGUACAUGCCUAAAAUUAUAUUAAUUCCAUAUGACUCUGUGUAUGUACCAAUGAGGUUUUUAUGACUGCACAUAUAUUUGGGGGAGAUAUUUUUAAUUUUUUUGGUGUAUAUUUUUUAUGGUGGUGUGUACUGUUUCAUGUAAUCAUAUGAGUAUAUUGUUAUAUGUGUAUAUGUGUAAAUGUGUAUCUGAUUCCUUCCUUGUAUGUUUGUAUGUCUGCGGCCAUCAUUGCCUGCAUUACAUAUGAAAGAACAUGUGAAAGAACACAUCCAGGCAGCUAGGUGGCACAAUGGAAAGAAUGCUGGGCUUGGAGUUAAGCAGAUGUGAAUUUAAAUUCUACCUCUCAUACCUACUAGCUAUGUAAACCUGGGCUCCCUCUCCCGAUUCUUCCUUUGGAGCUUCAUGGUAGGACGGAGGAGAAAGCUGCCACCGGGCUGAAGAAAAAUCAUCCAUAAAUGGGAAAAUGAUUUUCUGGCGCUUCCGAAGAAAUUCAGACUAACCUUUUGGAGCCGGAUAACCUGGGAGCCCCGGGCACGUGCCACGAGAGCCUAUUGGAUUAUCCACUUUCCAUCCCUUGCUCUACCCAGCUCCACUCUCUUUACACAAGCGUAAUACUUGAUGGACACGGAAGACACUGUAAUCCCUUUAUGCCCCGAGGGGAGCAGCCGCAUUGGGUAUUCAAAGAAGAUUAGCAACUCUGGUGUGAGGACUCCUUGAGCCCUUUUCAAGGCAAUUCCCUCUUUUGAUGUCCAUCCAGCUGCCACCCAGCUCUCAUCUAUGGCUUCAAGAAGCUUUAGCAUGCACAGUGGCCACCCCCUGGUAAACCAUCUCAGGAAGUGUGCUAAAACAACUUGAGGGCAACUGACAGCUUCAAACCUGUUGGUGAGUUAGGUGCAUGUCUACCCCAGGCAUGUGAGACCUCCCCUAGCAGAAGGAGUAGAUAAGAACAAUUUGUUCCAAUGGCCAUGAGGGCAGCCGAAACAGGCACUGUUUAGUACUUAGAGUUUCGUUAGACAUUGAAGAAGCCAUGGUCAUCCCCUGCAUCUCAAGCCAUCACCAGUUGUCUUGAUUUCUGUCUUGCUACUGGACUUCAAUGACUGGAAGAGAGAGGCUGACAAUUUUGUGCAACUCUGCCUCAUUUAAAAUCAAUCUAUGUUCAAAUCAAGAGACAUCACCAAUGAUGUAAUUUGGGUCCUCGUGGAGUACAAAAGACAACCACCACCACAACAUUCUGUCAAAAGCCUUGCCCCGGGCGGUCUCGUCAGGAAUAAAUAGAAGCUGACACAGUCAUUUGCUUAAAUCUUCUACGCAUUUUCACCGCAUUUCCCUCCCGAGGAUUCUCUAGAAACAGCCUGGGUCUGAAAUGUCCCUGAGGGCGACCCAGACCACCGCAGGAGCAUCAAACCAUUACCGGCCAGGAAUCACGUGUUUAGUCUGCAGAGAGAUGCUGUGAGAGCUGAGGACUCUGAGACAGAGAGACGGUCUACUACUCUCUUCAAGCUCUCAUGACCUCUGGUGUAGAUAUCUUCGUCAACUUUCUCCUAAUCGGUCUUCACGUAUGUUGUCUCUCCCUUUUUCAAUACAAAACUCUACAUAGCCGCCAUUGUGAUAUUUCUAAAGCACAGGUUUGAUCAUGUCAUUCAAUGGCUUGCUUCUACCUCUAGGAUUAAAUAUAAACUGCCCAAUUUGGCAUUCAAAGCCUUUCAGAAUCCAAUCAGCCUACCCUUGAAGAUUUAUUCUGAGUUAAUCCCUUUCAUGCACUCUACUUUCAGCCAAGCUGGUUUACCAGCUGUCCCCAACAUCAAAAGUUUAAUGACAGAUGUGUUAAGUUCAACCUAAUUCAUUUUUUUUUAAUGAUUACAUUUCUACCAUAUACCAAAAAAAUCUGGGACAGCUGGGUGGCUCAGUGGAUAGCCAAUCAGGCCUGGAGGCAGGAGGUCCUAGAUUCAAAUAUGACCUCAGACACUUCCUAGCUGUGUGACCCUAGGCAAGUCACUUGACCCCCAAUUGCCUAGCACUUACCACUCUUUUGCUUUAGAACUGAUAUUUAGUAACAAUUCGAAGAGAAGGUAAGGGCUUUAAAAAAUAAGAACCAUGCUAAAUACUGCAGCACAUACAAAGGUGGAUAUGAUACAGAACCUGCUUCCAAAAAGUCUACAGUCUAAUAGAGGGGGGAAACUUGCCCACAAAGGCCUGCCUGGGAGCUUUUAUAUAAGCUUUGCCCUUAUGUAUGAGCUGUACUCUCUCCUCAGUUCCCCUUUUUAGAAUUCUUUUGUUUCCUUUAAGGUACAACCCAGUUUCCAGAUCCUACUAGAUGCUUUGUCUGGUCUUCCCUCCUUGUUAAUGUUCUCUGUCUCCUCAAAUUACCUAUAUUUACUGCCCAAUUUAGUUAGAUUUCCUAGAAGAAGGUAAGUUCCUUGAGGACAGAGACCAGUUUUCACUUAGGUUUUUGUUUCCAUUGUUUAGUAUGGUGCUUGGCCCACAAUAGAUGUCUAAUAGAUGCUGGUUGGAAUGAAUCAAAUUGUAUGUGGCAGGCAGGAAAGAACACUAGCCUAGUGGCCAGAAGACCUAGGUUGCAAUUAUAUUAGACUCUGUCAUGAGAUUUCCCUUCUCUGGGUCUGUUUUCUCACCUGUAAAAUGAGAUUAGCCUAAAGGAUCUCUAAAUUCUGUCUGAGUCUGAGUAUGUGACUGGAUCUUUGGCUCUGUGGGUAAAUGUGAGCAUGUGUAAGUAAUGUAUUGGGGAUCUGGGGUGUCAGGUGUCCCAAAUAGAAACUAGAGUAACUUGAGAACCCAAGAAAGUGAAAAGGGGAGAAUACUAAGUAUGGCUGCAGAAUUACUGUGCACCCACACAUUUUCAAUUCAAUGCACCCAGACAAUAACAAUAAAAAAUUAUCAUCGUGUCUAUAUACAUCACUUUACCAUUGGUAAAACACUUUCCCUUAUAAGGUCACUAGAAAGUAAUUGAUACAAGUGCUAUUAUCUCUGUUUUACAAUUGAGAAAAUGAAGGCUCAGAGAAUUUAAAUAAUUUGAGUCUACUGGAUUUCUAGUCCAAAGAACUAGGUUUGAAUUCUGGUUGCUUUGUGACUUUCAAAACUCUGGGACUCAGUCUCCUCAUCUUUGAAUGGAUAAGAUGCUCUCCAAGGUCACUUCUAGCUUUUAAUAUAUGGUCCCAUAAUUUGUCCAAAGUUACACAGCUAGAAAGUGUCAGUCAGUUCUCAAUCCCAGGUUUUUUAUUCCAAGUUCUUUCCAGUAUUUCACACAUGCAUGGAUACAGGCUGUUGGAGGACAGAGAAAAGGGAGAGUGAAUCGAGGGCUUUUGAUUGACAGCUUAAUGAAGUCAUUUAUAAGAAUGAUGGAACUAAGGAAGCUGCCUAGACACAGAGAUACACUGACCAAAUCUCAUAACCCACAGUAAGAAUGUUCCAUGAAGAAGUUUAAUGAUGGAGAUGUUAAAUUCAACCCAAUUCAAUUUUUAAAAAAUUAUUACAUUUCCACUAUAUAUAAAACAACUUACUCAAGUGCAGUGAAGAAGAGAGGACAUAGGCCCUGCUUGCAAAGAGUCUACAAUCAAAGAGAGAGGGAAAAUAAAGGUAGAAAGGAGGUAGAGAAAAGCAAGUUUAGAAGAUUAUUACAACAGUCAAUAUAAGAAUAGAGGAGAGUAUGAAUUGGAGUAGUGGCAAUAAAAGAGAAAGGAAAGGAACCAAAAAUAAAUACAUUUGGUGACUGAUAAGAUGUGAGUGGCAAAGAAAA